rnacentral:lncRNA from 1 species
UAUAUACAUAUACCUGUAUAUGUAGUAUAUAUACAUUGAUUAUGUCAUAAUUUUAUUUAGCUUUUUAUCAGGUCUGGUUGAGAGAAAGAGAGAGAGAGAGAAAUCCCCAGAAGGGACAUGUAAAUCAUGUGUGAAGUUGACUGAAGAUCAUUUUUGACAUCACUUGCCAUAUUACACUGUCUGUGGCUGUUCCCCUUCUCUACAAGGUUGAAAUUCACGUCACCCAUGGGAAAGAUCAUUUCUGCUAGAGAUUUAAAAAUUUGAUUUGGAAAAUCAUUUGGAAAGUGUAAACCAUGUUGUUUCCCAAACAAGAAAGAAAGUGCCUGGGAAUAUCCCUCAACAGAAGAAAUCCUGAUUGGAAUGGCAUUUGUGGGGUUACUUUCUGGAGCCCAAGGACUCCUGCCGUGCUUGGAGUGUGGAUAACACUCAAGGAAAAUGUGGAUUUGGGCCUCUCCUCUGACAUGUAUUGCUUGAGGAAUGGUGGUGUGGCCCAGGCUUUGGAUGGAGUCAGAGGAUCUGGGCUUACUUCCCACCACUGAUGCUGUCUCUGUGACCUUGGGUAAGUCUUUUCAUCUCUAUGGGAUUUAGUUCCCUCAUUUAGAUCCCUCAUCAUUCCC